rnacentral:rRNA from 1 species
UACGUAGGGCGCAAGCGUUGUCCGGAAUUAUUGGGCGUAAAGAGCUCGUAGGCGGUUUGUCGCGUCUGCUGUGAAAACCUAAGGCUCAACCUCGGGCUUGCAGUGGGUACGGGCAGACUAGAGUGCGGUAGGGGAGACUGGAAUUCCUGGUGUAGCGGUGGAAUGCGCAGAUAUCAGGAGGAACACCGAUGGCGAAGGCAGGUCUCUGGGCCGCAACUGACGCU